rnacentral:rRNA from 1 species
AGAGGAAGUAAAAGUCGUAACAAGGUUUCCGUAGGUGAACCUGCGGAAGGAUCAUUACCUAGAGUUGUAGGCUUUGCCUGCUAUCUCUUACCCAUGUCUUUUGAGUACCUUCGUUUCCUCGGCGGGUUCGCCCGCCGAUUGGACAAUUUAAACCAUUUGCAGUUGCAAUCAGCGUCUGAAAAAACAUAAUAGUUACAACUUUCAACAACGGAUCUCUUGGUUCUGGCAUCGAUGAAGAACGCAGCGAAAUGCGAUAAGUAGUGUGAAUUGCAGAAUUCAGUGAAUCAUCGAAUCUUUGAACGCACAUUGCGCCCCUUGGUAUUCCAUGGGGCAUGCCUGUUCGAGCGUCAUUUGUACCUUCAAGCCUUGCUUGGUGUUGGGUGUUUGUCUCGCCUCCGCGUGUAGACUCGCCUCAAAACAAUUGGCAGCCGGCGUAUUGAUUUCGGAGCGCAGUACAUCUCGCGCUUUGCAUUCAGAACGACGACGUCCAAAAGUACAUUUUUACACUCUUGACCUCGGAUCAGGUAGGGAUACCCGCUGAACUUAAGCAUAUCA